rnacentral:rRNA from 1 species
UACGAAGGGGGCUAGCGUUGCUCGGAAUGACUGGGCGUAAAGGGCGCGUAGGCGGCUCAUACAGUCAGAUGUGAAAUUCCUGGGCUUAACCUGGGGGCUGCAUUUGAUACGUGUGGGCUUGAGUGGGGAAGAGGGUCGUGGAAUUCCCAGUGUAGAGGUGAAAUUCGUAGAUAUCAGGAGGAAUACCGAUGGCGAAGGCAGGUCUCUGGGCUGACACUGACGCUCAUGCACGAAAGCGUGGGGAGCAAACAGG